rnacentral:rRNA from 1 species
UACGAAGGGGGCGAGCGUUGUUCGGAUUUACUGGGCGUAAAGGGCGCGCAGGCGGCUCAUUUUGUCAGGCGUGAAAGCCCCGGGCUUAACCUGGGAACUGCGCUUGAGACGGGUGGGCUAGAGAUCGGGAGAGGAGAGUGGAAUUCCCAGUGUAGAGGUGAAAUUCGUAGAUAUUGGGAAGAACACCGGUGGCGAAGGCGGCAUCCUGGACCGGUAUUGACGCUGAGGCGCGAAAGCUAGGGGAGCAAACGGG